GGUUGGUUUUUGGAGCAUUGAAAAAGUCGUCAAAGUUGACAAAAUGGCAAGGGUUGUUGAAGCGAAAGACCUUCGGUGGCAUGCUGCAGAAUGUUCAAUCCAUUCGUGGAAAUAAUGGUGGUCGGACCUCAUCUUUCGUCGAGACGUCGCCGUUAUCAAACUAGAUCCAAGAGAAAUAACUGGAAUCCAUCUUUUAAUGAAACAUUUUACUAGCGGCGACGAAGCUCCCGAGAGCCCGGGUGGACGACGUGAAAAUCUCUCGCUCGACGGCGAGAACUCGCCUGUGGAAUUCUCGACCGGUCCUAUUAAACACUGCCCGAGAUGACUGCCCGAGAUGA